rnacentral:rRNA from 1 species
GUAGUCAUAUGCUUGUCUCAAAGAUUAAGCCAUGCAUGUCUAAGUAUAAGCAAUUAUACCGCGAAACUGCGAAUGGCUCAUUAAAUCAGUUAUCGUUUAUUUGAUAGUACCUUACUACAUGGAUAACCGUGGUAAUUCUAGAGCUAAUACAUGCUAAAAAUCCCCGNCUUCGGAAGGGGAUGUAUUUAUUAGAUUAAAACCNAUGCNCUUCGGGGCUCUCUGGUGAUUCAUAAUAACUUCUCGAAUCGCACGGCCUUGCGCCGGCGAUGGUUCAUUCAAAUUUCUGCCCUAUCAACUUUCGACGGCUGGGUCUUGGCCAGCCGUGGUGACAACGGGUAACGGAGGGUUAGGGCUCGACCCCGGAGAAGGAGCCUGAGAAACGGCUACUACAUCCAAGGAAGGCAGCAGGCGCGCAAAUUACCCAAUCCCGACACGGGGAGGUAGUGACAAUAAAUACUGAUACAGGGCUCUUUCGGGUCUUGUAAUUGGAAUGAGUACAAUUUAAACCCCUUAACGAGGAACAAUUGGAGGGCAAGUCUGGUGCCAGCAGCC